GGCCGCGUAGCGUAAUGGUUAACGCGCUAGUUUCCGGCAGAUAUUGUGGAGUAGCUAGAGAUUCUGGGUUCGAGUCCCAGCGUGGUCG